GCAGCCUGGGGAAGAUGUUUCUCAGCAACAGUGCUACCCUGCUGGACAGCUGGUGAUUUUUACCAUAAAACAAGAUAGUAAUAAGGAUAGAAUGAGACACCACCGGCUUUGCUCCAUCCCUUUGGGAAGACAGCACACCCAGAGCUCAAGUCUGCUGCUCAUUCUGGAAGGGGAGAUGUCCUGGGCCCAGGGUUUGGAAAUGUCUUCUUGGACAAGCUUAAGCCGUCUCAUUGAAGAUUUUCAAUGGCCUUUCGGAAUUACGGGACUUACCCAGCUCUGCCAGGUUUAUUAAUCCAGCCUAUAAGCUUCUCUAGACCUAGGACUAUGGUGCCUGCACAGAAGAUGUGCUCAACAUAUAACUGAUUAAAUAACUUAAUGAGUAAAUGAAGGACUGGACUCGUUUGUGGGCCAUAUUUGGAGGUGACUUU
rnacentral:lncRNA from 1 species